UACGAAGGGGGCUAGCGUUGCUCGGAAUCACUGGGCGUAAAGCGUGCGCAGGCGGUUUUGUAAGCCAGAUGUGAAAUCCCCGGGCUUAACCUGGGAAUGGCAUUUGGGACUGCAAGGCUUGAGUGCGGCAGAGGAGACUGGAAUUCCUGGUGUAGCAGUGAAAUACGUAGAUAUCAGGAGGAACACCGGCGGCGAAGGCGGCGACCUGGUCCUAUACUGACACUCAUACACGAAAGCGUGGGGAUCAAACAGG
rnacentral:rRNA from 1 species